rfam:Lichtheimia corymbifera JMRC:FST:9682, FST 9682, WGS project CBTN01000000 data, contig: SCAF00098
UGCGGGUUGAUGUAAUGGCAGCAUGUUAGACUCAUGAUCUAGAAGUGAUAGUUCAAAUCUAUCAUCCGCAC